GGAAGGAUUAACUUUAUUUGAAAGAUAAGCCAAAUAUUUGCAGCAGAACCUUUGUACUUCUAGGAGAACAGACUAGAAGUUCUGAAACGACACAGAGGAAGCAGAUACGGUAUAUUACAAAGCUCAACAUCAUGAGCACUGCAGGGAAAGUAAGUAGAUGAUUUCUUUUAAAGUUGCUUUUUCAGCCCCAAGAUGCAUAAAUACAAAAAAUAAAAAUAGGCUAAUUGUAAGCCACCCUGAAGAAUUUGGCUAUAGGUAGGGCUUCUUUUCAGCUGGAACUCACCAGAACUCAAUUCCGGCACUUCUCAGAUGGGUGCCAUUGCCAUUGUAAGAGAACAAAGGAGGCAUUCAUGGUGAGUUCCAGCACCUCAUUUACUAGAAAAAUUGCACUGGUAUUGGGGCGCAUAUUAAAUAUUAAACUUGCACAGGAUUGCAAUGUUAGCUGCGUGUAAAAAAUAGUAUAUGCUCUUUUAUUAUUUAACAGGACAUUGAAAUCAGAGCUGUCACUGUAAAUUGUUUUCAUGUUUUGUAUGAUAUUCUAUUAUCUCAGGUCAUUAAGUGCAAAGCUGCUGUUGUCUGGGAAGUCAAGAAACCAUUUAGUAUUGUGGAAAUAGAAGUUGCCCCACCUAAGGCACAUGAAGUUCGGAUUAAGGUAAGAGAGACAAACCAAAACUGGCAUUUCUGCAGAUUGUUAGUAUCUGCACUAGGGAUGGAGAAAUUUGAUUCAGUUUGCACUUAAAGAUAAAUCUACCUAAUUUAUGCUUUCAAAAACAAUAUGAGAAUGGGGAAGGGCUGCAGCCCUGGAGGAACAGCUGUUUUGCUUGCAAAAGUCUGAAGAUGAAUCACUGGUAUCUCCAGGCAGGUGUGGGAGAGUCCCUAGUCUGACUCUCUGGAGAGCUGCUUUCAGUCAAUGUGGAAAAUGCUGAGCUAGAUGGACCAAUGGUCUGACUCAGUAUAAUUAACAACAACAACGACAACAACAACUUGUACCCCACCCAUCUGACUGGGUUGCCCCAGCCACUCUGGGUGCCUUGCAACAGAAUAUUAAAAUCACAACAAAGGUCAACACUAACACUUUGAAUUGUGCUUGGAAACACACGGGGAGUCAUUGUAGAUCUUUAAAGAUCAGUGUUAUACGGUCUUGGAGGCCGCUCCCAGUCACCAGUCUGGAAGCUGCAUUCUGGAUUAAUUGUCAUAAUUGUAGUUUAAGGCAGAUUCCUGUGUUCCUAUGAGAACCAAAACACACCCAUUUUUCAAAAUUCGCACUUCUCCAACUUUUGCGAUGCCAAGUAAUAAGUGUAAAAUUUCAUAUAGUGGUGUAAAAUGUGCACAAAAAUGCCAGUAUUAAUGAAUAUAAUAUACGAAUAUGCUUGAUAUUAGACAACGUUGCUUUGCACUGUUGCAUAUUAGGCAAAAUUGCAUGCAAACAUGUUUAUAUUAGGAGAAAUUUGCACUGAAAUCCUGAUGAAUUUUCAUGAGUACUUUAAAACAAAAACCUGCAAACUGAUGUGGAAAUGUGGGAGAGUUUUGAACCCCUGCAAGUUGCUGCAGGAGAGGGAUUGUGAGCAAUAUCAUGAGAGGGGUGUUUCUAGGACUAAGGUGAAACUUAAAAGCUCCCUUGUUAGUUUUGCUAUUGGAUGAUGGGUGUCAAUUAAAGACUUCCUUUUUCCAAAAAAACCCACCCCAUCCUGUCAAGUGGAGAUCUUUAACUAAGUCUGAAUUACUGUAUUUUUCCGUGUAUAAGACUAUAUUUCCCCCCAGAUUUUUUAAGUUUAAAAUUGGGGGUCAUCUUAUACACAGAAUGUUGCAAUUAAUUAUUUCUUAAUUUUGGGCUCAAAAAAUAGGGGUCGUCUCAUACAUGGGGGUGUCUUAUAUACGGAAAAAUAUGGUAGAUGUGAAAUUGUAGAUGUGAAAUUGUUUUCACACAUGAAAUUAUAUUUGAUUGUUUUAAAUAUUUGUAUAGGUUGAUCUGUUUGUAAUUGUUUCUAUUAUUUAUGUUUUUAGAUAUCAUUUUGAGAUAUCUUAUGGGAAGCAAUUCAUGAACUGAAUUUUAAAAAAUAAUAUAAAAUAAAAAACUUUCCCCUUUAAACCAGAUUUUGGCGUCUGGAGUCUGUCGCUCCGAUGACCAUGGGCUGAGUGGGGCAAUGCAGGUAAAAUUCCCCGUUAUUCUUGGUCAUGAGGCAGCUGGUGUUGUGGAGAGCGUUGGGGAAGGAGUUACCUGUGUGAAACCAGGUAAGGUAAAGCAGAGUGCAACCAGAAAAUAUCAACUCACAGCAUUGGUCAACAAGGAUCAAACGAAACUAGGAGAGCCAACCAACUGGUGGAAGAAUGACCGAGAAAGUGUUUUCUUUAGGGAAGGGCGGUCAGCUCUGGGCCAAUGACUAGAUUUUUAAUGUAAAUGCCAGAAUUUGGAAUCAAUUACUAGACAUUUCUGAAUAGGAGUCAGCAAAGUUAUUUUUUACUUAACUGCUGAUAUUACUACUACUACUACUACUACUAUCACUUGCCAGGGUGGUUCACAACUACUUAAACUUGCAAUAUUAAUUUAAAACAAAUUGCAGUCAAGAGAAUAGGGUAGUCCCUAUUCUCAGGUGCCAAAGACCAGGACUGCUAUACUGCCAAUACCCCAAAAUGUUGAUGAAAGAGGAACUACCAAAAGGGCCCCUUCUACUGAUUUGAAUGUCCAAGAGCAGGUACCCCCGAACUUAGCUCUCCAGAUGUUUUGGGACUACAACUCUCAUGAUCCCUAGCUAACAGGACCAGUGGUCAGGGAUGAUGGAAAUUGUAGUCCCAAAACAUCUGGAGGUCUGGGUUUGGGGAUGCCUGCCCAAGAGGGUCUUUAGGGUCUGGUGGGGCUUCCUGUUUCUGGCGGUGGAAAAUGGCGGAUCCCACACGAUCGGAAUUCAGCCGUUCUGAUAAUUCAGGGCUGAUAUGGGGGUAAUUAGCCCUGGCAGCCUCCCCAGGGCAGGGGAGGACUGUCUCGAUGACCCGCGGUUUGCCCCAGAUUGCCGAUGUGGCAGACGGCAGGGGCACUGGGUCACGGAGCAAGGGACGGACUGACACUCCUGUGAUGCCACCCCAUAGUCUGCAAUGUUCAUGACAUACCCUCCAACAUUGCUCAGAUUAAAAUAGGGACAUUUCUCACUUCCUACCUCCAACUGACCCUCCUCAAACCCUCCCCCCAAUUUUGUACUGUCCCCCGCCCCCAACAAAGCAUUUCCUGAAUAUUUUAAGCAGGCUAAUGAUGGUAUUUUCAUCAUUCCCAGGAGACAAAGUCAUCCCACUCUUUGCCCCACAAUGUGGAGAAUGCAGCACAUGCAAACAUCCCAGAGGCAAUCUGUGCAAAAUGGGCGAGUGAGUUGAAGUUGUUAUUUGCAACAGUAUUAGAAACACCAGCAGUGCAUAUGUUGGGUUAAAAAAAAAACACAACCCAAAGCACGAUUUUCCUUUCUUCAUCUUUUAGCCUUACUGCCUCUGGAUUAAUGCACGAUGGCACCAGCAGGUUCACUUACAAAGGCCAGCAGCUCCACACCUUUCUCGGCACAAGCACCUUCACAGAAUACACCGUGGUGCAUGAGUCUGCAGUGGUCAAAAUUGAUGCUGCAGCUCCUCCAGAAAAAGUGUGUCUGAUUGGCUGUGGGUUUUCUACUGGCUAUGGUGCUGCCAUCAACAGUGCAAAGGUAAGGAUUAAACAUUGGUAAUGCUCAUAUUCAGUGUGAGGAAUUUGUGGCAGGUCUAGACAAAAAGAGGAGGACAGGUGGGCUCUGGGGCUCUGGCACAGAACCAGGUGAAAGCACAGUCAAUACUGUAAAUGAAUCAAAACAAUAUAAAAUAGCAAAGCCACCAAAUACCCACCAAUCCAUUGGAUGUACACUCAUGACCUGCACUCAUGUUCUUGCUACAGACGUAGUUCUCCAGCAUCCCACCUCUCUCUUGAAUGCUUUGAACAUCAAGGAGCAAUCCCAUCCACAACCAAUUGCCCAGGGGAACACCCGUGCCAUCAUAUACCGAAAGAGAGAGACAAGUAGUGCAGGGGGUUGGAUUAGAUGGUCUCUUCCAACUCUACAAUUCUAUGAUUUCAGGUGGAGCCUGGUUCAACCUGUGCCGUUUUUGGUCUGGGAGGAGUUGGCCUCUCAACUGUCAUGGGCUGCAAAGCAGCUGGAGCUUCCCGAAUCAUCGGGGUCGACAUCAACAAGGAUAAAUUUCCCAAAGCUAAAGAGAUGGGAGCUACAGAGUGUGUCAACCCUCUGGAUUUCAAGAAGCCCAUCAAUGAAGUGUUGUAUGGCUUGACAGAUGGUGAAGGUGUUGACUAUUCAUUCGAAGUGAUUGGGCGCACAGACACCAUGGUACAUGCAUGAAGACAGAAUUUUACUGUCCUAUUUUGAAAAGGGAAGAUGGAAUUUCCUGCAUUCCCGUUCUUCAGUGGUUCCUAUUUUUCACUGGGUUGUGAUCCGAUAAUCUGUUGCAGCAUGGGCCUUGGGUUCUGAGACAGUAGAACAUGUCAGAGUUUUAAACAUCCUCCACCCAUUGAUCAGGUAACUUAUGGAAUAAUGUGAGAUGGGACUCAGGCAUGAGGUGCUAAUGGAGGGGUGAGAAUGAUCCUUUUGGGUGAUUCUUCUCUCCCACAUAAGCCCACCCCCAAAAUCCCUUCCCACAUUCUUCAGAAGGCCCUAACCAUCCAAACAGGCUUUUCAGAGUGUGUAUGUAGCUGGACAUGGGAGGAAGAAAAGACAGGGAUGUUUUCUUCCAUUGCUAUUAAUAUGCUUUCAACAGUAAAAUCUUUGAGAGUUCUGACUGCGUCAUGGGAGGUGAUCAUGGAUGGUAUUUCUCCUUGGCUUGAUUCAAGAGUCAUGCCUUUGGAUUUUCCCCAGACUGCUGCCUUGGCUUCCUGCCACAUGAAUUAUGGGACCAGCGUGAUUGUCGGAGUGCCCCCUUCAGCUUCUGAAAUUACCUUCACUCCAAUGCUUAUCUUCACGGGGCGCACUUGGAAAGGAUCUAUAUUUGGAGGUAUGGGCCUACGAGCUUUCUAUCAAAAGGGCACAUUUCAAAUUCUGAGAGAGUGUUGAGGGCACCCAUCACAAAAUAGCUUGGGGUGGCAGCGGGUUGUGCCAUAAAACGUCUGUCAUUGAGAGCAUGGCAUAACACAAAUUUAGAGAAACACCUUGAUUUGUUCAUUAUUUCCCCACCCCCAGCAAUGCAAUUUAGAUUUAAAAAAAAAAUCAUGCUCUUACCAUGUGAAAAUACAUUUAAGAUCUCAUACAGUUUGGCCCUCUGUAGGCUUUCCACGCAAGCUCUUGUCCCAUAAUUACUACGUUACUAUCUCCUCUAUCUCCCUCCCACCCACAGAUCUGUCAUAACAUCAAGGCCAAUCUCAUUGCAUAAGCCAAGUUCAAAGACGGUUUCAGGCUAUAAAUUUGUGGGACUGCCAGACCUUUAACCAACAUCUUGCUCCUUUUUUAUGGCAUUAUAAUUAGAGUACCAUAUCUUCACUGUGCACUUACUGUUUUCAGGAUGGAAAAGCAAACAAGCUGUCCCCAAGCUGGUUUCAGAUUUCAUGGGGGGGAAGUUUGCUCUGGAUCCACUAAUUACCCACACUUUGUCUUUUGAUAAAAUCAAUGAGGGCUUUGAACUGCUGCGUUCAGGAAAAAGGUAAGACCUUUCCCCACCCCCACCCCUCAAAGUGUAGUGGAAGAGGCAGGGUACCUUUCUGAGAGUCAUAGCCAUAGUCAUUAUAUGAUUACACAAUCCUCCUCUGGAGUGACUCAAGCUAUGUUGCCCUUGAAGUUCCAUUAUCCACAACAGAACUUGCACAUCACUGUCUUGAAACCGAAGACAACUGCAUAGCUUGGGAGCAUAUAGAGCAACUGCUCUUGGGUGUUGUUCUCAUCCACCUUCUCCAGAAUGACCCUAGGAGCUAAUCCUCAGUGGCUGGCUCAACUCCUUCCACUCAGAUUGGCUCCAAGCAGCACAAGGCCAAGAAGACUUGAUCAUGGUUAGAUUCUAGUACUGAAAGUUGCACAAGCUAUUUAUGUACAAAGAAACAGAAGACAAAAUGGGGAAACGGACACCUCAAAGAAUGAAAAUGAAUAACUAAAUGGGACAAUGAAACCCAUGAAGAAACAAUGCAAUGUACAUCCAUGCAAAUAUGGAUGUUCACAAGCAAGACUUGCACCACAACUGUGGUCGAUCUGCAUCCCAUUAGGCUGAGCAACAAUUGAUUUAUAAACUGAAAUUGAUACUGUUUUGGAUGGGGCAAUUAAAUUACAUCAACAAACUAUUUACCUUGAUGCUUCUGUUAGGGAGAAAUAUGCAUUUGUAUUCAGCUUCCUGUGAUGGCAUAAAUGAAUAGAAUCGACUUGUCGUGUUUUUUCUUGUGCAAUUCUUUUUCUCGGAAACAAUUUUAUAGGCUUAUCACCAGGGUUCGUAUGUCCUCUUUUUCACACCCUUUUCUUCUCUUUUUCUUUUAUCACUUUAUUCCUUUAUAAAUGAAAUCUUCUAAUAAAAUGUUAACUAUAAAAAAGGUUUCCUAUUUCUGUACAGGUUCAGACUUCCCUCUCCACCCCCUACUCUGAAAAUUACUCACUGUGUAUGCUAUCUACUCUUCCUUUUUCUGCUCCUCUGACUGUAAGUUGUGUUAAUUGUGUUAAUACUGAAUUUGAAAACGUUGUAACCCACCUGGAACACGAUGGCAGAAGGUGGGUAAUAAACAGAUGAAUGGAUGGUGCUUAAAAGAUCACCUUCCCUUAAUAUCAACCAGAUCAAGCCUUUCCUUAGAAAGUUGUGGCAAGAUCUUAAACCUACUGAAAUAUUAGCCUACUAACAUUAAAAAUCUAACAGAUAUUAUCACCCUUCCAUUUAAAACUGUUUCUUAUUGUUUCAGUAUUCGCAGUGUCCUGGUGUUUUAAAGUCCAUGGUGAGGAGGAAGAAUACAAGACAAUGACCUUUGCAAGCUCAGAUUGCCACAUUGCCUAGUAGGACAUAUGUGAAAAUGACUGGACUCUGCAAUGUCAUCACUGGCAAUGCUCCAUUAUCAACACGUAGGUCUAUCCCAAGACCAUCACGUUUUUCCUCCAAAUGCAACAGAAGAAAACUACCAUAAACACAAUCUUAGGUUGCGAUUCAAACUAUCAAUAUCCUGUUUAAUGAAGCAACAACACAAAUAAUUAUUAUCAUGUAUUUCAAAGGUGAGAGGUUGGACAGUUUAGGCAGCUGUCUUAUAUAUAUUUGGGAGAAAGUCACACUCAACCCAGUGGAGUAUACAUGCUUGAAAUCUCUUUACAGAAAUAAAUUUGGUACCGUUUUACAUUGUUAAUAAAUAUAGGAUAUGGAGGUUUCUCGGUGAUGCACAAAUGAUAUCAAUUUCCUGAGAACUCCUUAAGGAAAAUUGCUGUAAUUUUUGUAUGUUCUGAUAUGAAAUUCUGGCAAUGGCAAAAUAAUACAAGUUUUUUGCUGCUUAAAUUCCAGGGUGGGUGUGCUUGGUGCCUUAUAUUGCAAGGAGUGGUAAACUGUAUGGAUUAUAUCAUAAACACCUAAUAAAAAUAGUUAUGAAUUCCAGUGGACUUCCAUCACUAAUAUUUCUGUUUCUCCAGGCACCUUUCACAGAAUCAUAGAGUUGGAAGGGACGCUGAUUGUCAUCUUUGCAUAUUUAAAUAAAAGUAUAAACAGUAAGAAAUAACUGAGAUAAUCCUAAAACCUAUCAAAAGUUUUUUUAAAAAAAACUUUAGUGAGGCCUAUAUUAUUUAUUUAUGUUAUUUAUUUAUUUUCUAUACCGCCCUAUACCCGAAGGUCUCAUGAGAUGUGCUUCAUUGGUUAGGAAAUGUAACUAUUUCAAACCCUAUUGUAUAGAGUCUCUUCAGACACCUACCCAAAUGCGUAAGGGCAUAACUUCUAUACCCCGGCAUUCUGAAAGGAGAGUAAGCACAUUCAGCUAAAUGCCCUUAGCAUUUCCCCCACAUGUUCUGGAGUCUCACAUUGUCAGGAGCGCUGAUCAUAGGAAUGUUUUUAAGGGUAUUUAGCUGAAUGUCCUUAGAAUCUUCUUUCAGACCUUCAUGAUGAACACACAAAGGUCCAGGGUGAAGCAGGCAGGGCCAAGCACGGCUAGGGAUGUUGGGAAUGUGUGCCCCUGUGUUGUUUUUAUGCUGGGUGAGGCCCUGGCUUGGAAGGGGAGUUUAGCUUGUAUUUUUUCCACUGGCCUGACAUCUUCUCUUCAAUACUCCCAAUAUUAUCUAAAUUCUGUUGUUGUUUCGUCGUUUAGUCGUGUCCGACUCUUCAUGACCCCAUGGACCAGAGCACGCCAGGCACUCCUGUCUUCCACUGCCUCCCGCAGUUUGGUCAAACUCAUGCUAGUAGCUUCGAGAACACUAUCCAACCAUCUCAUCCUCUGUCGUCCCCUUCUCCUUGUGCCCUCCAUCUUUCCCAGCAUCAGGGUCUUUAGGGUCAUCUAAAUUCUACCAUUUAGCAAUUGCUAACAUUCACUAACUCUAGCCAUUAUAAGUGCUCUUGCACCCCUAAACUCUAUUACCCCAGACUUGCAAUGUGCAUUCUUGCAGGCAUUGGUAGGUUGUAGAGCUUAUCACAAAAUUUGGGUAAAUGUGAAUUUCAAAAUAUAUCAAAUUGAUACACUUGGCUUUAAAUAUGAACUUAAAAUUUCUCCCCCAGCCCUUGUGAAGAAUGAUAGGAGUUGUGUUCCCACAACAUCUGAGGGGUCAUUUGUUCCCCAUCUCUGGCUUAAGGAACAGUUCACAUGAAGUUUGCCUUAGUCUUCCUACAGUUAUUACACUUCUUGCUCAGUUUGGAAUAAGCCUCACCCUCUAGUCAUAUUUGUUCUUGCCAGGAUCCAUACAAAUGGCCUUGCUUUGUUUGCAUUAAUAUUUGCUCUUUUGAGGCGGUUCAACUUCCUAACUAACAAGAAAAAUACAAUACCGCUUUGCAAUGUUGAUGUUAUCAUUCCAGCUUGUCGGUUCACAAUGUAUAGUAUUUCUUAUUGGCACCCAAUCCAUAAGAAUAUAUGCAGCUCCUUCCCUCAAGGUGAAAGUAAUCAAGAUACUCAACCCCAUAAUCAUUUGUGACCAAAAUGGUGUGUUUUUCUUUCUGUUUCUGAGGAAAAGUAUGUUUCUUCUGGAGAACCAUCUUUCUCCUCACAGCACCCUCCACCCAAAAAAGGAGCAAGAGAACUCAGGGGUUGAUCAGAAACAUAUGUUUCUCUCUGUGUGUGUUGUAUUUUAAGCAUUCUGAGAAUUUGCAAAAAUUGUGUAAUACUCUGAGGGCCAAACUUGGCAAUAAUUCAUACUCGAUAAAGAACUGGAUUUUUUUCCCCAUUCAAGUUGCUCUUCUAGGGAUACCCAUCUGGUUUGGAACCCUAAUAUGUGGCCAAGGGGGCAUUAACCAUUUGCUCUCUACUAUGGCCCCAAUUCAUAUCCAUGCUCCCACAAUUUGCAUAUAAAUACAAUCCCACUCCCUGGUGCCUUGCAGCUGCGAGUUUUCCUAUAGAUGGAGCAAGAUGGAGUCACCAAAUAUACUUGGCAUUGCCACUCAUUUUCUAGGGCUGAUUAUCAGCAUCAAUUUGUUUGUCCCAUGAAUGAAAUCCCUCUGUCACCCAAUGUGGCGUUUGCCUCCUAGGAUGGGUCAUAAGGAAAGGGUUAAAAUGGGUGUGAUGUGAUUGGCCAGUGAGAAUGCAAGGAGGGAGUAAAAGUUGAGGUUUGGGAGUUGGGAGUUGAGGUUUGGGAGUUGGAGAAGGAAGAGGGAGGAAUAGGCAGUGGGUUGGUAGAGUUGUAUUGUGAGAGAGUGAGAGGAAUUGUUAGGUGGAGUAGUCAGAUAGAUAGUUGGGAAUAAUCAGUUUGAAGUUGUUAGGAACUAAGAUUAAGAAACUGACAAGAGAAAUAUUAACUGAAACUAUACGCUUGUUCCUGCAUUUAAAAAUAAACUUGAUUAUUUGUUUAUGUUAACAA
rnacentral:lncRNA from 1 species